GCACUGCUGCUCCAGGCUCACAGGGGCAGGCAGCCCCCUCCCCGCGCAGAUGGGCUCCACGACGCCUCGCGUUUUCCACCAGCUCAGCAGAAACGCCCCCAGAAGAUGCUGCCAUCUAAACAUGGACCCAGAAAGGAUUCAAAGGGCUCACAUAGACACGGAAGUGCAGCACCACAGACCCGCAUGGAUCAUCAAAUAAGCACCCACAUGUAUUUAGCACACCCCUCAAACAGACGAUCAGCUCAGCGUAAAGUGUCGCAACCACAAAGAUGCCUCAUACAGCCUCCAGCCUCAGUCCUGGGUUCUUGUCUCCCCCUCACUCAUUGCACCGAGCCGGAGUCUGGGACCAAGCAGGCGGAAUCGAGAGUCCCCCCGGGCUUCCUAACCUGCACAGCAAGGCUCUGACCAUGCCCCACCCCGUGGAGCUGAUUUGCUGCCAAGGACACGCCAGUCUUGUCCAAGGGAAUUCGGAGGUGCGGAUUUCAGAUGCACUUUUAGAAGAUGGACUCAGGGCCCAGCCACAGGACAAUUCCCACCAUAAGAUGCUGAGAUGCAAUAAGGCUUGUAAUGAAAAUAAAGGGGAUU